UGGGGAAUCUUGCGCAAUGGGCGAAAGCCUGACGCAGCGACGCCGCGUGAGUGAAGAAGGCCUUAGGGUUGUAAAGCUCUGUCAAGGGGGACGAAAACCUGUCGGUGCAUAGCCGGCAGACUGACGGUACCCCUGGAGGAAGCACCGGCUAACUCUGUGCCAGCAGCCGCGGUAAUACAGAGGGUGCAAGCGUUGCUCGGAAUUAUUGGGCGUAAAGGGCGGGUAGGUGGUCUUGUUUGUCGGGGGUGAAAUCCCUGGGCUUAACCCAGGAAGUGCCUUCGAAACGGCAGGACUAGAGUAUUGGCGAGGGUCGUGGAAUUCCCGGUGUAGCGGUGAAAUGCGUAGAGAUCGGGAGGAACACCAGAGGCGAAGGCGGCGACCUGGACAAUCACUGACACUAAACCGCGAAAGCGUGGGGAGCAAACAGG
rnacentral:rRNA from 1 species